CGGCGGACGGGUGGGUAAUGCCUAGGAAUCUGCCUGGUAGUGGGGGACAACGUUUCGAAAGGAACGCUAAUACCGCAUACGUCCUACGGGAGAAAGCAGGGGACCUUCGGGCCUUGCGCUAUCAGAUGAGCCUAGGUCGGAUUAGCUAGUUGGUGAGGUAAUGGCUCACCAAGGCGACGAUCCGUAACUGGUCUGAGAGGAUGAUCAGUCACACUGGAACUGAGACACGGUCCAGACUCCUACGGGAGGCAGCAGCG
rnacentral:rRNA from 1 species